rnacentral:rRNA from 1 species
UGAUAGUCUGAUCGAGUCGAAGAACGGGUAGUCGGCCUGAGAGGUGACCGGCCACACUGGGACUGAGACACGGCCCAGACUCCUACGGGAGGCAGCAGUGGGGAAUAUUGCACAAUGGGCGAAAGCCUGAUGCAGCGACGCCGCGUGAGGGAUGACGGCCUUCGGGUUGUAAACCUCUUUCAGCAGGGAAGAAGCGAAAGUGACGGUACCUGCAGAAGAAGCACCGGCUAACUACGUGCCAGCAGCCGCGGUAAUACGUAGGGUGCGAGCGUUGUCCGGAAUUAUUGGGCGUAAAGAGCUCGUAGGCGGUUUGUCGCGUCGAUUGUGAAAGCCCGGGGCUUAACCCUGGGUCUGCAGUCGAUACGGGCAGGCUAGAGUUCGGCAGGGGAGACUGGAAUUCCUGGUGUAGCGGUGAAAUGCGCAGAUAUCAGGAGGAACACCGGUGGCGAAGGCGGGUCUCUGGGCCGAUACUGACGCUGAGGAGCGAAAGCGUGGGGAGCGAACAGGAUUAGAUACCCUGGUAGUCCACGCCGUAAACGGUGGGCACUAGGUGUGGGCAACAUUCCACGUUGUCCGUGCCGCAGCUAACGCAUUAAGUGC